rnacentral:rRNA from 1 species
GAGUAACACGUAUCCAACCUUCCGUUUACUCAGGGAUAGCCUUUCGAAAGAAAGAUUAAUACCUGAUAGUAUGGUGAGAUUGCAUGAUAGCACCAUUAAAGAUUUAUUGGUAAACGAUGGGGAUGCGUUCCAUUAGGUAGUAGGCGGGGUAACGGCCCACCUAGCCGACGAUGGAUAGGGGUUCUGAGAGGAAGGUCCCCCACAUUGGAACUGAGACACGGUCCAAACUCCUACGGGAGGCAGCAGUGAGGAAUAUUGGUCAAUGGGCGAGAGCCUGAACCAGCCAAGUAGCGUGAAGGAUGAAGGUCCUACGGAUUGUAAACUUCUUUUAUACGGGAAUAAAGUAUCCUACGUGUAGGAUUUUGUAUGUACCGUAUGAAUAAGCAUCGGCUAACUCCGUGCCAGCAGCCGCGGUAAUACGGAGGAUGCGAGCGUUAUCCGGAUUUAUUGGGUUUAAAGGGAGCGCAGACGGGAGAUUAAGUCAGUUGUGAAAGUUUGCGGCUCAACCGUAAAAUUGCAGUUGAUACUGGUUUCCUUGAGUGCAGUUGAGGCAGGCGGAAUUCGUGGUGUAGCGGUGAAAUGCUUAGAUAUCACGAAGAACCCCGAUUGCGAAGGCAGCUUGCUAAACUGUAACUGAC